GUAGUCGUGGCCGGGUGGUUAAGGCCACAGACUUAAAAUCUGUUAGGAUAUUCCCGCGCAGGUUCAAAUCCUGCCGACUACA
rnacentral:tRNA from 1 species